rnacentral:rRNA from 1 species
UACGUAGGUCCCGAGCGUUGUCCGGAAUUACUGGGUGUAAAGGGUGCGCAGGCGGUCUUGUGCGUCAGAAGUGAAAUAUCACGGCUUAACCGUGAGGGUGCUUUUGAAACGGCGAAACUUGAGUACGGGAGAGGAUGAUGGAAUUCCUGGUGUAGCAGUGAAAUGCGUAGAUAUCAGGAGGAACACCGGUGGCGAAGGCGGUCAUCUGGCCCGGUACUGACGCUCAGGCACGAAAGUGUGGAUAGCAAACAGG